UGCGAUUACGAGGCGACGGCCGUGUGGCCAGCGUUUUUGGGUUUUGUCGGGUUGUGGGAUCGGGUGAAAUUAUGGCAUAAGUUACUUAGGAGUAAAGCUGGUUUCCUGCUCCUGCUCCUGCUUCUGCUCCCCGGAACUUCCCCACCAUUCACAGCCAGCCACCCACUUUCCAGCCCCCCGGCGGAAUCAACUUGGCUACACUUUACUUUUAUGUGGCGCGCUCGGAAUGUACUCGCUGGCGAAAUAAAGAUACAGAUACAGAGAUACGCAGAGAGUGCCCAGAUACAAGCACAUUUGUAGCGAUAAGCGUCAUAAAGUUAUCGUAAGUAAGCGCCGAAAAAAGUCUACGAAAUAGAUACAAAAAAAAGACGGAAGCAUGAGCUUACAGUGGGGCUUGGAUUUCUGAUCCUCUACCAAAAUACAGUGAAUGCUAGUGUUUGUUGAAAGAAAACGAAAGCCUUUAGUUUAGGAAGUGGUCAUUCCUGAAUACAUCAAAAUGUA
ensembl:ncRNA lncRNA:CR44921 long non-coding RNA:CR44921